rnacentral:lncRNA from 1 species
ACAGCUGUCCUUCACUCGCACGGAGCAACCUCGGGACAGAUGGUGGGAGAGGAAGGGCAACUCGAGGAGGCACAUUUUAGGAAACUGCCCACGGAGCCAGUUUCGAUUCUCCAAACCUCGUCAGCAUGCAGAGGCUCCCUGACUCGGCAGCAAGGAGGGCCUCAUCAGCCGACCCCCAUGCCCGGCACCCCCUUCACCAGGUCCUGAAAACUCCAGAGAGCAGUGCCCUGUGCAUUAAACACAGACUGCGCCCUUGUACUCAGGAGGAUGCAAUUCUCUCUCUAAAGUCGAGAGCUCACCACCCCGGGCGUUCGUCACUGCAGACAUCACUGCAGACACAGAGACGGCCAUUAGAGCUCACCACCCCGGGCGUUCGUCACUGCAGACAUCACUGCAGACACAGAGAAGGCCAUUAGAGCUCACCACCCCGGGCGUUCGUCACUGCAGACAUCACUGCAGACACAGAGACGGCCAUUAUGCAGCCUCACGUGGUCACUCCUGGGGGCGGUAGGAUAUUUUAUCCUAAAGAGAAAACACCUUAAAUUCUCACAUCAGCCACCCCCAUGGCGACUCUUAACACCUUAAUGUAGCACCUUCCAACUUUUCCUGGGCAUUUAUGUACAAAUUGUAAUAAAAUUGGGUUCUUACUGCAUACGCUGCUUGCUGGUUUCUAAAUAAAAUUGGGUUCUUACUAUA